UCCCUAUCUGCCGUGGGCGCUGGAGAAUUGAGGGGGGCUGCUCCUAGUACGAGAGGACCGGAGUGGACGCAUCACUGGUGUUCGGGUUGUCAUGCCAAUGGCACUGCCCGGUAGCUAAAUGCGGAAGAGAUAAGUGCUGAAAGCAUCUAAGCACGAAACUUGCCCCGAGAUGAGUUCUCCCUGAGACUUUAAGUCUCCUGAAGGAACGUUAAAGACGAUGACGUUGAUAGGCCGGGUGUGUAAGCGCAGCGAUGCGUUGAGCUAACCGGUACUAAUGAACCGUGAGGCUUAACCUUACAACGCCGAAG
rnacentral:rRNA from 1 species